rnacentral:tRNA from 1 species
GGUAGUCGGGAUCUGGUAGAUCGAGCUGGUCUUAUAAGCGAGCUGCGGUGGGUUCAAUUCCCACGGCUACCA